GAGCUGCUGGCCGACGGCACCGGCGGCGUCGGCUACCUGCUGAAGGACCGGGUGUUCAACGCGGCGCAGUUCG
rnacentral:tRNA from 1 species